ACUACGGGUGGCUGCAGUGAGGAAUAUUGGUCAAUGGGCGCGAGCCUGAACCAGCCAAGUCGCGUGAGGGAAGACGGUCCUAUGGAUUGUAAACCUCUUUUGUCGGGGAGCAAAAGACGCCACGCGUGGCGUUCCGAGAGUACCCGAAGAAAAAGCAUCGGCUAACUCCGUGCCAGCAGCCGCGGUAAUACGGAGGAUGCGAGCGUUAUCCGGUUUUAUUGGGGUUAAAGGGUGCGAAGGCGGAAGAUCAAGUCAGCGGUAAAAUUGAGGGGCUCAACCUCUUCGAGCCGUUGAAACUGGUUGUCUGGAGUGAGCGAGAGGUAUGCGGAAUGCGUGGUGUAGCGGUGAAAUGCAUAGAUAUCACGCAGAACUCCGAUUGCGAAGGCAGCAUACCGGCGCUCAACUGACGCUCAUGCACGAAAGUGUGGGUAUCGAACAGGAUUAGAUACCCCAGUAGUC
rnacentral:rRNA from 1 species